UACGUAGGGUGCAAGCGUUGUCCGGAAUUAUUGGGCGUAAAGAGCUCGUAGGCGGUCUGUUACGUCUGCUGUGAAAACCCUGGGCUUAACCCUGGGCUUGCAGUGGAUACGGGCAGACUAGAGGCAGGUAGGGGAGAAUGGAAUUCCCGGUGUAGCGGUGAAAUGCGCAGAUAUCGGGAGGAACACCGGUGGCGAAGGCGGCGUCCUGGACUGGUACUGACGCUCAGGAGCGAAAGCGUGGGGAGCGAUCCGG
rnacentral:rRNA from 1 species